ACGAACGCUGGCGGCAUGCCUAACACAUGCAAGUCGAACGAACCCUUCGGGGUUAGUGGCGCACGGGUGCGUAACGCGUGGGAAUCUGCCCUUUGCUUCGGAAUAACUCAGGGAAACUUGUGCUAAUACCGGAUGAUGUCUUCGGACCAAAGAUUUAUCGGCAAGGGAUGAGCCCGCGUAGGAUUAGGUAGUUGGUGGGGUAAAGGCCUACCAAGCCGACGAUCCUUAGCUGGUCUGAGAGGAUGAUCAGCCACACUGGGACUGAGACACGGCCCAGACUCCUCCGGGGGGCGGCAGUGGGGAAAAUUGGACAAGGGGCCCAAGCCUGACCCAGCAAUGCCGGGUGGGUGAUGAAGGCCCUCGGGUCGUAAAGCCCUUUUACCGGGGAUGAAAAUGCCGGUCCCUGGGAAAAAAGCCCCGCCUAACCCCUU
rnacentral:rRNA from 1 species